rnacentral:rRNA from 1 species
UACGGGGGGGGCAAGCGUUGUUCGGAAUUACUGGGCGUAAAGGGCUCGUAGGUGGCCAACUAAGUCAGACGUGAAAUCCCUCGGCUUAACCGGGGAACUGCGUCUGAUACUGGAUGGCUUGAGUUUGGGAGAGGGAUGCGGAAUUCCAGGUGUAGUGGUGAAAUGCGUAGAUAUCUGGAGGAACACCGGUGGCGAAGGCGGCAUCCUGGACCAACACUGACACUGAGGAGCGAAAGCCAGGGGAGCAAACGGG